GUGCUCGCUUCGGCAGCACAUAUACUAAAAUUGGAACGAUACAGAGAAGAUUAGCAUGGCCCCUGCGAAAAAGAUGACCGGCAGAAUUCGAGACCUGGGAGAAGAAAGG
ensembl:snRNA U6 U6 spliceosomal RNA